AACAGUGAACGAAGUUGUGUCAUACUACCAUAUGAUUGAAGAUCCCGUUUAGUUGUUUGAAUAGACAAGCGGCGAGCUUGAUGAGAUUCGCAUUCUCCAAUCUCAACUUUUCCAUCAUAUGCAACACCAAACUUCUCUUUCUCUGAUAUUGAUAGACCAAUCUCACGCAAAAGAUCAUGCAUCUUGCAACGUUUUGGUCUCCCAAAUUCAUUUCGCCUGACAACUUGAAGCAUGCUUCGAAGGAUGAGUUCCAUGAGAUAACUUUCUGCCACUUCUUUUGGUGCAGUCCUGUCAACUUGCUCAACAAAUCCUUCCGCUAUCCAUAGUUUAAUGAGCCUUUUACGUCUAAGUUCAUAGUCUUCUGGAAAAAGGCAACAAUAGAGGAAACAAUGCUUAAGUCGGUAUGGCAAAUCAUUGUAGCUCAGCAACAAGAUGCUUUUCACUGGUUGAAGUAUUUGGUUAUUGUGCAACUCCCAAUUCAAGCUAUUGCAAACCAUCCUCCAUUCUGAUGAGCUUUUGGCAGACAAGAGACCACCCAAUGACACAAUUGCGAGAGGUAGUCCUUGGCAUUUUUCCACUAUGUCCUUGGCUAAAAUUUCAAGCUCCAAGGGGCACUUGUUGCCAUUCCUUGAGAAAGCUUUCAUGCAAAAAAGGGCCCAUGCUUCAAUUUCUGAUAGUGGACGAAUAUGAUGAACAUGGCUUCCAAUUUCAAAAGAAAGAGAAGCUACGCUUUCAUUCCUUGUUGUAAGCAUGACUCGACUACCAUGCCUGCUAUUUGGAAGUGAAACUUUUAUUUGACUCCAAAGGUUUGCAGUCCAUACAUCAUCCAGAACAACCACAUACCUCUUGGAUUCCAAGUAAUUCACAAGCAUCUCAACCAGCUGUUGGUAAUUCAUGGAGCUCAAUUCCAUAGGAGCUGCUUCCAUUGUGGCCCGAUAGAAUUGCUUAAUCAAGCUCCUAAACAAGUCCUCAAUGACAUAAGUUUGGGAGACAGUAAUCCAAGCAUAGCAGUCAAAAUGCCGCUUCACAGUUUCAGAAUUGUAGGCCUUGGCAACUAGAGUUGUUUUUCCAGAGCCACCCAUGCCAACAACUGAAAUAGUUGUGCGUUGCAAUUCUCCAUUUGUUAGCCAUCCAACUAACAGUUGCCUUUCAUCUUCAACCCCCACAAGUUCAUCAUCCUUAAUAAACAAAGAUGAUUCCCCAUGGAGUGCCCCUUUGCCACUAUCAUCAGAACUCUUCCCUUCCAUACUAUGAUCAAUACGAUACCUCUGGUUUCUUUCUGGUAUGGCUUUGAUCAUACUUGAGAGUUUUUGCAGCCUGACGGCAAUUUGAUGCCUUUUCCAAAGAUGUUUUGGAAAGCCGAUGGUGUUGUGGAGGUUUCUUGUGGAUCUGUGCCUACCCUGUCUCUUGUUGGAGAGAUACAUAAACUCAUCGAUGAUGUCUUCAACAUCAUACACCAAAUUUCUCACAUCAGCAACCCAAGUUUUCUCAACGUCGGUUUGAGGCCUUCUCAUAUCUGUAUCAUGUAGAAAGGAUCUCAUGCUCACUAGCUCUCGCUUGAUUUCUUCAAGGUCAUCACGAGCUCCACCUAACAAGGCUGCUUCAUUUUCGAUGACAGAAACUAUCUUACCAAUCAAGAACUCUGCCGGCACCGAUGCCAUGCUUUUGACUUGCUUAUCCUCUGGUUGGAUCCUUUAGUAUCUUCUUUCUAAUCUAUGCUUGACCCAAAAACUAAGCUCCUUCUCUCAUUGCUCCGGCUUUAUGGCCUUAUCCUU
rnacentral:misc_RNA from 1 species